AUUGAACGCUGGCGGCAGGCCUAACACAUGCAAGUCGAGCGGAUGAAGGGAGCUUGCUCCUGGAUUCAGCGGCGGACGGGUGAGUAAUGCCUAGGAAUCUGCCUGGUAGUGGGGGAUAACGUCCGGAAACGGGCGCUAAUACCGCAUACGUCCUGAGGGAGAAAGUGGGGGAUCUUCGGACCUCACGCUAUCAGAUGAGCCUAGGUCGGAUUAGCUAGUUGGUGGGGUAAAGGCCUACCAAGGCGACGAUCGGUAACUGGUCUGAGAGGAUGAUCAGUCACACUGGAACUGAGACACGGUCCAGACUCCUACGGGAGGCAGCAGUGGGGAAUGUUGGACAAUGGGCGAAAGCCUGAUCCAGCCAUGCCGCGUGUGUGAAGAAGGUCUUCGGAUUGUAAAGCACUUUAAGUUGGGAGGAAGGGCAGUAAGUUAAUACCUUGCUGUUUUGACGUUACCAACAGAAUAAGCACCGGCUAACUUCGUG
rnacentral:rRNA from 1 species